rnacentral:rRNA from 1 species
UACGUAGGGUGCGAGCGUUAAUCGGAAUUACUGGGCGUAAAGCGUGCGCAGGCGGUUUUGUAAGCCGGAUGUGAAAUCCCCGGGCUUAACCUGGGAAUGGCAUUCGGGACUGCAAGGCUGGAGUGCGGCAGAGGAGACUGGAAUUCCUGGUGUAGCAGUGAAAUGCGUAGAUAUCAGGAGGAACACCGAUGGCGAAGGCAGGUCUCUGGGCUGACACUGACGCUGAGGAGCGAAAGCCAGGGGAGCAAACGGG